UGAUGAUAACUUCAUCUCCAUCUUCCAAAAAUUUACGAGUCGUUUUACCAAGAGACAACUCUUUUGUUCCGUUCCAUGUUAACUCUAACAAGCAUCCAUAAGAUUCAGAUUCCUGUCCACUUAUUGUUCCAGUUCCAAGGAGAUCUCCAGGCCUCAAGUUACAGCCGUUAAUAGUAUGGUGUGCAAGUUGUUGCGUUAGAGUC
rnacentral:lncRNA from 1 species